AUUGAACGCUGGCGGCAGGCCUAACACAUGCAAGUCGAGCGGAGCGGCGGACGGGUGAGUAAUGCCUAGGAAUCUGCCUGGUAGUGGGGGAUAACGUCCGGAAACGGGCGCUAAUACCGAAUACUAUCAGAUGAGCCUAGGUCGGUUUAGCUAGUGGGUGGGGUAACGGCCUACCAAGGCGACGAUCCGUAACUGGUCUGAGAGGAUGAUCAGAACCACGGGAACUGUAAAACGGUCCGGCACCCUAUGGAAGGAGGCAGUGGGAAAUAUGGGACAAGGGGCGAAAGCCUGAGCCAGCCAGGCAGCGUGUGUGAAGAAGGUCGUAGGUUUGUAAAGCCCUUUAAGUUGGGAGGCGAUACCAACAGAAUAAGAACCGGCUAACUUCGUGCCAGCCGCCGCGGUAAUA
rnacentral:rRNA from 1 species